rnacentral:rRNA from 1 species
AGAGUUUGAUCCUGGCUCAGAACGAACGCUGGCGGCGCGUUUUAAGCAUGCAAGUCGAGCGGCAAGGGCCUUCGGGCCCCUAGAGCGGCGGACGGGUGAGUAACACGUGGACAAUCUGCCCCCCGGUCCGGGAUAGCCCAGGGAAACCUGGAUUAAUACCGGAUGCGAGCGCGAGCACAGAAGUGCUUGCGGGGAAAGGCGCUUCGGCGUCGCCGGGGGAUGAGUCCGCGGCCCAUUAGCUAGACGGCGGGGUAAAGGCCCACCGUGGCGACGAUGGGUAGCCGGCCUGAGAGGGUGAUCGGCCACAUUGGAACUGAGACACGGUCCAGACUCCUACGGGAGGCAGCAGCUAAGAAUCUUCCGCAAUGGGCGAAAGCCUGACGGAGCGACGCCGCGUGAACGAUGAAGGCCGUGAGGUUGUAGAGUUCUUUUCGGGAGGAGGAAUAAGCGUGGCAGGCAAUGGCCGCGCGAUGACGUGAAUCCCGGAAUAAGCCCCGGCUAACUACGUGCCAGCAGCCGCGGUAACACGUAGGGGGCGAGCGUUGUUCGGAAUCAUUGGGCGUAAAGGGCGUGCAGGCGGCCCUGCCAGUCUGGCGUGAAAUGCCCCGGCUCAACCGGGGAGACGCGCUGGAAACUGCAGGGCUAGAGUACAGGAGGGGAUGUCGGAAUUCCAGGUGUAGGGGUGAAAUCUGUAGAUAUC